rnacentral:rRNA from 1 species
GACGAACGCUGGCGGCGUGCUUAACACAUGCAAGUCGAACGGAAAGGCCCUGCUUUUGUGGGGUGCUCGAGUGGCGAACGGGUGAGUAACACGUGAGUAACCUGCCCUUGACUUUGGGAUAACGUCAGGAAACUGGGGCUAAUACCGGAUAGGAGCUCCUGCUGCAUGGUGGGGGUUGGAAAGUUUCGGCGGUUGGGGAUGGACUCGCGGCUUAUCAGCUUGUUGGGGGGGUAGUGGCUUACCAAGGCUUUGACGGGUAGCCGGCCUGAGAGGGUGACCGGCCUCAUUGGGACUGAGAUACGGCCCAGACUCCUACGGGAGGCAGCAGUGGGGAAUAUUGCACAAUGGGCGGAAGUCUGAUGCAGCAACGCCGCGUGCUGGAUUACGGCCUUCGGGUUGUAAACCGCUUUCGCCUGUGACGAAGCGUGAGUGACGGUACUGGGUAAAGAAGCACCGGCUAACUACGUG